AUUGAACGCUGGCGGCAUGCCUUACACAUGCAAGUCGAACGGUAACAGGUUAAGCUGACGAGUGGCGAACGGGUGAGUAAUGUAUCGGAACGUGCCCAGUCGUGGGGGAUAACUGCUCGAAAGAGCAGCUAAUACCGCAUACGACCUGAGGGUGAAAGCGGGGGAUCGCAAGACCUCGCGCGAUUGGAGCGGCUGAUAUCAGAUUAGGUAGUUGGUGAGGUAAAGGCGCACCAAGCCGACGAUCUGUAGCUGGUCUGAGAGGACGACCAGCCACACUGGGACUGAGACACGGCCCAGACUCCUACGGGAGGCAGCAGUGGGGAAGUUUGGACAAUGGGCGCAAGCCUGAUCCAGCCAUGCCGCGUGCGGGAAGAAGGCCUUCGGGUUGUAAACCGCUUUUGUCAGGGAAGAAAAGGUUCUGGCUAAUACCUGGGACUCAUGACGGUACCUGAAGAAUAAGCACCGGCUAACUACGUGCCAGCCGCCGCCGUAA
rnacentral:rRNA from 1 species